rnacentral:misc_RNA from 1 species
UUAACUAUUGUAUAGUACUCAGACAUCACUAAAAUCACGAGUUGGGUCCUCCGGCGGGCACUCCCCAGCGUGAGCCGGGGGCUUGACGCGGCCCGCCAAAGCAACAAAGGUAGAGUAGACAGAGGGUUGAGCGUAACGCCCCGGGGGGUGAGCCCCGGGACGCGUCGAGGGCUUGACCUCGACCGCAUUUAAUGAUCCUUCCGCAGGUUCACCUACGGAAA